GAAUUCAUGCCAUUGAACUGAUGGGUUGUGUCGUUCCUUAAGCACUCUUCUUUUAAAACAUAAAACAUUUUAUAAAAAAUUUCCUUCUUUUCUUCCACUCUUUGAAAAUGCUAUGUUUUGCAUGAUUUAGGUAUUGCAUUCCAGAUUAUUGUUUCAAUGGCAUAAGUGUGAUCACUCAUUCACUCUGCAACGAAACGCCAAAAAUCCUUCCCUUUGCUUCACAAAUAUCUUCCUUAGGCAACCUAAAUAUCUUUAUUCUUUGUUGUUUUCUCACACAUCUAGAAUGCUGUGUGUUUUGUGUGAUCUAGGUUAAAUUUAAA
rnacentral:lncRNA from 1 species